rnacentral:rRNA from 1 species
AUUGAACGCUGUCGGCAUGCCUUACACAUGCAAGUCGAACGGUAACAGGUCUUCGGAAGCUGACGAGUGGCGAACGGGUGAGUAAUACAUCGGAACGUGCCCAGACGUGGGGGAUAACGAGGCGAAAGCUUUGCUAAUACCGCAUACGAUCUAAGGAUGAAAGCAGGGGACCGCAAGGCCUUGCGCGUUUGGAGCGGCCGAUGGCAGGUUAGGUAGUUGGUGGGAUAAAAUCUUACCAAGCCGACGAUCUGUAGCUGGUCUGAGAGGACGACCAGCCACACUGGGACUGAGACACGGCCCAGACUCCUACGGGAGGCAGCAGUGGGGAAUUUUGGACAAUGGGCGAAAGCAUGAUCCAGCAAUGCCGCGUGCAGGACGAAGGCCUUCGGGUUGUAAACUGCUUUUGUACGGAACGAAAAGACACUGGCUAAUACCUGGUGUUGAUGACGGUACCGUAAGAAUAAGCACCGGCUAACUACGUGCCAGCAGCCGCGGUAACAC